AAUGUUACAAUUUAAUUUAUUUUAGUAUUAAUAUAUAUAAAUAAUUAAAUUUUUAAUUUAGAAUUUAUUAGGUGAAAUUUUAAUUUUUAAAAAAAAAUUGUUUUUAUAGUUUAUUUAAUAAAUUUAAUUUUAAACUAGGAUUAGAUACCCUAUUAUUAUAAAUGUAAAUUUUAGCUAGAUUAGUAUUAGUUAUUUUCUUGAAAAUUAAAGAUUUUGGCGGUUUUUUAGUCUAUUCAGAGGAACCUGUUCUGUAAAUGAUAGUCCACGAUUUAAUUUACUUUUUUUAUAGUUUGUAUAUCGUCGUAAUAGAAUAUUUUAUAAGAAUUUGAAUAUUCAAUAUUUAUUUUUUAAUUUAAAUCAGAUCAAGGUAUAGCGGAUAAAAAAGUAGAAAUGGGUUACAUUAAUUUUAAUUAAGGAGUAUAAAUUGUAAAUUGGUAUGAAUAUGGAUUUGAUAGUAAUUAUAAAAAGAUUUUUAUAAUGAUUAUAGCUCUAAAUUAUGCACAUAUUGCCCGUCGCUUUCAUUUUAAGAUGAAAUAAGUCGUAACAUAGUAGGCUUACUGGAAAGUGAGCCUAGAAAGAACAGGCUAGAGUUUGUUAAAAUCGUUUUAUUUACAUUAAAAAGUUAGUUGUUAAAUUCAACUUGGCUUGAUUUUGUAAAUAUUAUUAAUUGUUUUGAGGUUAAAUUUAAUAUUAAAGGAAAUAAUUUUUAUUUAAGUAAUAUUUUUGAAAUAAUUAAGUUUUAUUAUAGAUUAUUAGUAUUGAGAAAGAAUUAUGGAUUAAUAUAAAAAGAAGAAAAUUUAUU
rnacentral:rRNA from 1 species